rnacentral:rRNA from 1 species
UUAGUGGCGAACGGGUGAGUAACACGUAGGGAACCUGCCCAUGUACCCGGGAUAACAGAUGGAAACGUCUGCUAAAACCGGAUAGGUAUAGACAAGGCAUCUUGACUAUAUUAAAGGACCUUCGGGUGUGGACAUGGAUGGACCUGCGGCGUAUUAGCCAGUUGGCGGGGUAACGGCCCACCAAAGCGAUGAUACGUAGCCGGCCUGAGAGGGUAGACGGCCACAUUGGGACUGAGACACGGCCCAAACUCCUACGGAAGGCAGCAG